rnacentral:rRNA from 1 species
GGAUCGCAGGCGACGUCGCGAGAAGUCAACAGAACCUUAUCAUUUAGAGGAAGGAGAAGUCAUAACAAGGUUUCCAUAGGUGAACAUGCGGAAGGAUCACUGUCAUUGUCGAGACAAAGCAGAACGACCUGUGAACCGGUUGGCCUUCCCUUCAGGAUUAAUUAUUGGGGAUAGCUGGGGGAGGCAAAGGGCGGCAUUGGUUGCCUCGAGCCCCCCGGUGCCAGACGUGCCAAGGAAACAGAAUCAGCGAGUGCACUCCCGGUGGCCCAGAAGCAGUGCCCGAUAUGCGAACCGCGCGAAAUUCAAAUCCAAAAGCACUCUCGGCAACGGAUAUCUCGGCUCUCGCAUCGAUGAAGAAUGUAGCGAAAUGCGAUACUUGGUGUGAAUUGCAGAAUCCUACAAACCAUCGAGUCUUUGAACGCAAGUUGUGCUCGAAGCCAUUAGGUCGAGGGCACGUCUGCUUGGGCGUCACGCAACGGUGCCCCAGCCCCAAUGCAGGCGGGGCGAAGGAUGGCCCCCUGCAAGCCCUUUCUCCUGGUUGGCCAAAACACGGGACUGCAAAAGGCGGCGACCGCCACGAUAACCAUGGCAAAUGAGUCGAACCAUGCUCGAGAUCGACCAUGUNAGGGUCAUCUGCAGAGCCUGCACCCCACGAGCCCCUGCGCUCGCAGGGGCGACCCCAGUAAGCGGAGGAA